UGGGCGCAAGCCUGAUCCAGCCAUGCCGCGUGAGUGAUGAAGGCCUUAGGGUUGUAAAGCUCUUUCAGCAGGGACGAAGCGAAAGUGACGGUACCUGCAGAAGAAGGACCGGCCAACUACGUGCCAGCAGCCGCGGUAAUA
rnacentral:rRNA from 1 species